rnacentral:rRNA from 1 species
GAAUUUUAUAUAAAUUUAUUUAAAUAUUUAAUAUAUAAAUUAUAUAUUAGUAUAAUCUGUAUUUUAUUUAGAAUAAAAAAAUUAUAUUUAAUUGGGAGGAUUAUUAAAUUAAAUAAACUUUAAAUUAAAGUUAUUACAUAAAUAAAUGAAAUAAAAAAUUAUUAUUAUAAGAGUGAUUAAUAAAUUAAUAAAGAAAUAAUUACCUUAGGGAUAACAGCGUAAUAUUUUUGGAUAGAUCAUAUAAAUAAAAAUGAU